GCAGGGCUAGAAGAACAAAGGCCUUGAGCAGUAAGUGCUGGUGACAAGAGCCUGCAGGACAGGAUGUGCUGCACUCCCCCAGCACCUCUGCUCCCUGUUGCAUCCCUUGAGUAACGAUGGUGACCUUCACCCUGAAGUCGAAUCCUGCCCCAGCCCAGCACCAGGCAGCAAUAAUCAAAGCAGAAACAAACAGCUUUGCUCCCCCUUUGAGGUGUUUGUUCCCCCCAGGCUGGGAGAGAUGCGGGCUCCAGGAGGGAUGAACACACCUGGCACAGUGAGGAGCUGCUGUGAUGGGCAAUCACACAUCAGGCGUUUCCUGAGCACAUCCUGCUGCUGGGAUUUGAUUCCCUGACACAUUCGUGGUUUAUCUGUUUGUUUGGAGAGGUGCCAGACAAAAGAGACACAGAAAUUUAAAUAAAUGCAGGUUAUCUAGAAGACA
rnacentral:lncRNA from 1 species